UGCGCAGGCGGGCUUGUAAGUCAGUGGUGAAAUACUGCCGCUUAACGGUAGAACUGCCAUUGAUACUGCGAGUCUUGAAUAUGGUUGAGAUAGGCGGAAUGUGUUGUGUAGCGGUGAAAUGCAUAGAUAUGACACAGAACGCCAAUUGCGAAGGCAGCUUACUAAGCCAUUAUUGACGCUGAGGCACGAAAGCGUGGGGAGCGAACAGGAUUAGAUACCCUGGUAGUCC
rnacentral:rRNA from 1 species